CUUUUCCUCCUCCGCUGGAGGAGACGGCUUGUUCUUGUUGGGCGCAGACUUUAGAGGUGCAGAUUUGCAAGGUUCAGCUUGGCUGGGUGCAGCCUUGCUAGGUGCAAUCUUGCUAGGUGCAGUCUUGCUAGGUGGAGUCUUGCUAGGUGCAGUCUUGCUAGGUGCAGUCUUGCUAGGUGCAGUCUUGCUAGGUGCAGUCUUGCUAGGUGCAGUCUUGCUAGGUGCAGUCUUGCUAGGUGCAGUCUUGCUAGGUGCAGUCUUGCUAGGUGCAGUCUUGCUAGGUGCAGUCUUGCUAGGUGCAGUCUUGCUAGGUGCAGUCUUGCUAGGUUCACUUUGAGUUAAGUCCACACCUACAUAAAAUGCUGACCUGCCAGCCACUUCGGACACAAGGCCAGCCUCACUUUCUGCAGGUGGGGAAGGGG